AUGAACGCUGGCGGCGUGCCUAAUACAUGCAAGUCGCGCGAACAGACGAGGAGCUUGCUCCUCUGACGUUAGCGGCGGACGGGUGAGUAACACGUGGAUAACCUACCUAUAAGACUGGGAUAACUUCGGGAAACCGGAGCUAAUACCGGAUAAUAUAUUGAACCGCAUGGUUCAAUAGUGAAAGACGGUUUUGCUGUCACUUAUAGAUGGAUCCGCGCCGCAUUAGCUAGUUGGUAAGGUAACGGCUUACCAAGGCAACGAUGCGUAGCCGACCUGAGAGGGUGAUCGGCCACACUGGAACUGAGACACGGUCCAGACUCCUACGGGAGGCAGCAGUAGGGAAUCUUCCGCAAUGGGCGAAAGCUUGACGGAGCAACGCCGCGUGAGUGAUGAAGGUCUUCGGAUCGUAAAACGCUGUUAUUAGGGAAGAACAAAUGUGUAAGUAACUAUGCACGUCUUGACGGUACCUAAUCAGAAAGCCACGGCUAACUACGU
rnacentral:rRNA from 1 species